rnacentral:rRNA from 1 species
GACGAACGCUGGCGGCGUGCUUAACACAUGCAAGUCGAACGGAGUGGCGAACGGAUGCGUCACACGUGGGUGAUCUGCCUUGCACUUCGGGCUAAGCUUGGGAAACUGGGUCUAAUACCGGAUAGUGCAAGAUGAGCUCGCGGCCUCUCAGCUUGUUGGUGGGGUAAUGGCCUACCAAGGCGUCGACGGGUAGCCGGCCUGAGAGGGGGUACGGAAACAUUGGGACUGAGAUACGGCCCAGACUCCUACGGGAGGCAGCAGGGGGGAAUAUUGCACAAGGGGCGGACGCCUGAUGCAGUGACGCCGCGUGGGGGAUGAAGGCCUUUGGGUUGUAGACUGCGUUCGACAGGGACGCGGUAACAGUAUAAGAAGCACCUGCUAACUACGUGCAAGCAGCCGCGGUAAUAC